rnacentral:tRNA from 1 species
GCGCCCAUAGCUCAGGUGGAUAGAGCAUCAGCCUUCUAAGCUGGUGGUCGCUGGUUCGAGUCCAGCUGGGCGCACCA